rnacentral:rRNA from 1 species
AGUGAACGCUGGCGGCGUGCUUAACACAUGCAAGUCGAACGAGAACGGAUUAUAGCUUGCUAUAAUUGUCAGCUAAGUGGCGCACGGGUGAGUAAUGGAUAGAUAACCUGCCCUCUAGAAAGGAAUAACAGUUGGAAACGACUGCUAAUGCCCUAUAUGCCUUCAAUACAUAAGUAUGCAAGGGAAACGCUUUAGUGCUAGAGGAUGGGUCUGUAUGGUAUCAGCUAGUUGGUGAGGUAAUGGCUCACCAAGGCUAUGACGCCUAACUGGUUUGAGAGGAUGAUCAGUCACACUGGAACUGAGACACGGUCCAGACUCCUACGGGAGGCAGCAGUGGGGAAUAUUGCACAAUGGACGAAAGUCUGAUGCAGCAACGCCGCGUGGAGGAUGACACAUUUCGGUGCGUAAACUCCUUUUAUAUAGGAAGAUAAUGACGGUACUAUAUGAAUAAGCACCGGCUAACUCCGUGCCAGCCGCCGCCGUAA